GCCACACCAGAACUUAAGACACAACUGACAAACAGCUGCUGACACAGGAAGAGGAUGGUGUGCUCAGGUGAGCUCAGGUGUUAUCGUGUCCUCAGGUGUGCUCAGGUGUUAUCGUGUCCUCAGGUGUGCUCAGGUAUGCUCAGGUGUUAUCGUGUCCUCAGGUGUUAUUGUGUCCUCAGGUGUCCUCAGGUGUUAUCGUGUCCUCAGGUGUCCUCAGGUGUUAUCGUGUCCUCAGGUGUCCUCAGGUGUUAUCGUGUCCUCAGGUGUUAUCGUGUCCUCAGGUCUUGCAUCGUUUGGCUGGAGGUUGUACUUCAG